UAGGUAAACCGGGUGAUCGCUCCCCGAUUUAUAUCGGGGGGAGGAAAGUCCGAGCUCCACCGGGCAGGAUGCUGGGUAACGCCCAGGGUCCCCCGAUUUUAUCGGGGGAUACGGAAAGUGCCACAGAAACAUACCGCCCCGGCUUGCCGGGGUAAGGGUGAAAUGGUGAGGUAAGAGCUCACCGCUCCGAUGGCAACAUCGGUGGCGUGCAAACCCCCUUCGGAGCAAGACCAAAUAGAAGGGAAGAGGACGCUCGGCCUCGUUAAUACCCUCGGGUAGGUCGCUUGAGGUGGCGGGUAACUGUCAUCCUAGAUAAAUGGUCACCACCCCGAUUUAAUCGGGGUACAGAACUCGGCUUAUAGGUUUGCUUAGCCC
rnacentral:RNase_P_RNA from 1 species